UGUAAGCGUAUACCAAAGUUGUUGCAGUUAAAACGCUCGUAGUCGGAAUUUGGCAGUUCCGGAUGUGUGCACGUCGUGUGCGCACUUCGCGGGGAUUGCUUUUGUGGUCUUGCGUAGGAUGAGGCACUUUUAUGAGUGAACGUCCUCACGCAACCACUUUUUACUGUGAGAAAAUCAGAGUGCUCAAAGCAGGCAUUUGCCGUGAAUGUAUUAGCAUGGAAUAAUAGAAUAGGACUUGGUUCUAUUUUGUUGGUUUGUUGGGACUGAGUAAUGAUUAAGAGGGACAGUUGGGGGCAUUUGUAUUUCGGUGCUAGAGGUGAAAUUCUUAGAUUACCGAAAGACAAACUGCUGCGAAAGCGUCUGCCAAGGAUGUUUUCAUUGA
rnacentral:rRNA from 1 species